rnacentral:rRNA from 1 species
AGAGUUUGAUCCUGGCUCAGAUUGAACGCUGGCGGCAGGCCUAACACAUGCAAGUCGAGCGGCAGCACGGGUACUUGUACCUGGUGGCGAGCGGCGGACGGGUGAGUAAUGCCUAGGAAUCUGCCUGGUAGUGGGGGAUAACGCUCGGAAACGGACGCUAAUACCGCAUACGUCCUACGGGAGAAAGCAGGGGACCUUCGGGCCUUGCGCUAUCAGAUGAGCCUAGGUCGGAUUAGCUAGUUGGUGAGGUAAUGGCUCACCAAGGCGACGAUCCGUAACUGGUCUGAGAGGAUGAUCAGUCACACUGGAACUGAGACACGGUCCAGACUCCUACGGGAGGCAGCAGUGGGGAAUAUUGGACAAUGGGCGAAAGCCUGAUCCAGCCAUGCCGCGUGUGUGAAGAAGGUCUUCGGAUUGUAAAGCACUUUAAGUUGGGAGGAAGGGUAGUAACCUAAUACGUUGCUGCUUUGACGUUACCGACAGAAUAAGCACCGGCUAACUUCGUGCCAGCAGCCGCGGUAAUACGAAGGGUGCAAGCGUUAAUCGGAAUUACUGGGCGUAAAGCGCGCGUAGGUGGUUCAGCAAGUUGGAUGUGAAAGCCCUGGGCUCAACCUGGGAACUGCAUCCAAAACUACUGAGCUAGAGUACGGUAGAGGGUAGUGGAAUUUCCUGUGUAGCGGUGAAAUGCGUAGAUAUAGGAAGGAACACCAGUGGCGAAGGCGACUACCUGGACUGAUACUGACACUGAGGUGCGAAAGCGUGGGGAGCAAACAGGAUUAGAUACCCUGGUAGUCC